UUUCUGUUAAUUUUUCUUCCUUCAUUUUACAUUUGUAGCCGAUGCGGUUUCAGUCAGUGGCGAACUAGACACAAGUAAGGCAAACAGAUACCUUAUAGAAAAGUGGACAAAGUGGUCUAACGCAAAUGAUUUCAAUCAUGAUGGUGUUCUGUCAAUGGAUGACAUUAUACUCUUUGAGGACUAUUACAAAGAUCAAGAUAACCUGAGUGAUGAUCACUUAAAGGAAAUCGAAAAAAGAAUGAAUCGAGUAUGGAGGAAAAUAAUUUUAAAUAACACCAUGGAAGUCACUACAGACGACUUUGUAAAGAUGCUGAAGCAAAAAUAUGAAGCAGACAGAAAAGUAUUUACUAAGAUGAUGCGCGAGUUUAUUUUGGAUUGGUGCGAAACAAUGGACUUGAACGAUGACUAUUUCAUUUCAAAAGAAGAAUUUCUUACUAACAUGUUUGCAUGUCGGCAUAAUGAAGUUUCAGUAGACGACGAAUUCUUUCUGGCCUUUAAGCCUGUAAACGGACGGUUUCCUGUUAAAGCGAUGAUUAAAUAUUUCAUACGCUUUGUAACGGAGACAAAUGAGUCGACUCAAGACAUCUUUAACAACGCAUUAGAUUCUGGUUUUUAAAUAAUGUGUUGUUUCUUUUUUUAAUCUUUAUUUCGGAUAUAUUGCUUUACGACUAUAUUUCUUUUAAAGAAUUUCUGAAAACAGAUUCCGAAUUAAAUGUGAAACAGUAGAUCUUUUCGUGUUUAUGCUUUUGUUAUUUUUAAACAUAAUUUAAUGUCAUGAGAACAAUUCGAAAUAGUGUAAUCAAAACCAAUUCGAGAUAGGCUUUUUUGUUUGUUUUGAAAUCGUAUUUGUUUCAAUAUCAAUGAAAGUAUAUCAGUUCAAAAUCCUUGUUUUGCUAAAUUCAUCUAUAUGGAUGGAUUUUUGUCAUUUUUUAAAGGAGCCUUACAAACAAUUUAAAGAGGUUAUCUUAUUUGAUUUUUGUUUUUGUUUUUUUUGUUGUUAUUGUUGUUGUUUUUGUUGGUCUUACUUUUAUGGCACACUAACACAAAGGAAAGACGUCGUUUUUGCCAAAACUUAUGAUUAUGCAGUUAUAUCUAAACAGUCUUUGACUGAACCGAAAAUUUUACUUCAAAUAGAGGAUUUCGAAGUGACCACUUCCUUUAAUAUAUGGCAUUAUUUAUAUGCAUGCAUUGCAAGCAGAAGAUCUUGUAUUUCACUUCCUUAUUUAUUUAUGGGAACUGAUCGGAUAGCUUUUACUUUAAGCUUUACAUGGAUAUUGUUGGAUUUUAUCACUUCAGUUAGGCUUCAAGACCAGAUGUUUCAAGAUGUCAUGGGAAACGCAUCAUUUUUGGUUCUGUGCAAAUCACAGACGCUAUAAAACAAAACAUAUAAACGUUUAAUACAGCUGCACAAUUAAGAAGAUUUGUUUCUCUUUGAAUUCAAAUUAACUAUAUAUCUAUAAUGUGUUGUGUUAGAUUUUAUCUUUAAAGAGAAGAUAACAAUUAUUACAAAUAGUAAAAUUGAACUUGGAUUGAAAUAUGUAAAAGGCUUUCUUUUUUAUCAAUUCACUUAAUGAACCAUUACGAGCAUAAUGUAUAUGUAAAUAUGUUUUCAGAUGCAAUUAAAACAAUUUAUUAAAAAGAGUCACUACAAUUGCCUUUUAAUUUGUUAACCAGGUGUUCC